AGGAUCCUGUGAACGGACACGCUGUGACCAUGCCAACCACACGGAUGAAUCACACAAACACUGCCAGGUUGGCUGAAAGAAGCCAGAUGGGAGAGAAUACACAACACGUGAUUCUGUUUAUCAAGUUCAGGAAGAGGCAAAACUAAACCGUGUUGUGGAGGAAGCACACACUCGUGGAAAGAGAGGAGCGGAGGUAAUUGGAGCUGUGAUGACUGCAGGCCCAGGGGACACUUUCCGUUCACUGGACCCUGUGUCUGAAGAUCCUGACCCUAGCCCCAUCCUGCAGGUGCCACUCCGCCAGCCCCUGAGUCCCUCCAGCCUGUGCCAGCCGCCACCUUAAUUCCCACGCCCUCAACCACUGGACCACUCGGCUCAGGGUCUACUGCCAGUGAGCGCAGAGGCGGUCUGAACCCAGCCCACAGCGUUUCCAGUGGGAACAGGAAAGCGGGAUGAAGCCCUGUGGGGAAGCACACAGAGCUGGGCCUGGGGCAGAGGUGUGAAAGGGAAAGGGGCGGCCUUUCUGCUGGAGGAGGUGGGCAGGCUGCCUCCUCUCCCGCUCUGCUUGCCCCUCUUCCUCCUUCCUGUCUGGGUCAGCCUAGGAGCUGCCCUGGGCCCUGACAUUGCCAGUUUAACUCCUGGCUUCACCUCUUUACCAGCCUGAGCUUCCACUUCCCACGUAUAAAAG
rnacentral:lncRNA from 1 species